CCCUUAGAUGUUCUGGGCAGCACGCGCGCUACAAUGGUCUUCGCAAACGGAUGCAUUCUCGAAGGAGAAUGCCAAUCUUGGAAUCUAUGCCUUGGUCGGGACAGUUGCUUGCAAUUUUUCGACUCGAACCAGGAAUUCCUUGUAAUCGUGAUUCAUCACAUCACGAUGAAUACGUCCCUGCCCUUUGUACAAACCGCCCGUCGCUCCUACCGAUCGAAGAGUUAGGUGAAUUGUUUUGAUCGAUAAGAUUUGACUAUGGUCAACUCUCGUUGUGAAAUUCUGUGAAUCUGACUGUUUAGAGGAAGGAAAAGUCGUAACA
rnacentral:rRNA from 1 species